UACGAAGGGGGCGAGCGUUGUUCGGAUUUACUGGGCGUAAAGCGUGCGCAGGCGGCUUCUCAAGUCAGGGGUGAAAGCCCAGAGCUCAACUCUGGAAUUGCCUUUGAGACUGAGUGGCUUGAGUACGAGAGAGGUGAGUGGAAUUCCCAGUGUAGAGGUGAAAUUCGUAGAUAUUGGGAAGAACACCGGUGGCGAAGGCGGCUCACUGGCUCGUAACUGACGCUCAUGCACGACAGCGUGGGGAUCAAACAGG
rnacentral:rRNA from 1 species